GGUGGUUUACUGCUGCUAAUAGCACUCGCAUGUGUGAUUGAAUGUUGCUGUAUAAGAAGACAAAACAGAGAACAGAAUCAACCGCCAGCAAGGGACCCUGGUGUAAAUUUACCCCUAGGAGAGCAGCAGGACCCUUGAGAAAUCAGUGAGAGAUAUAAUCGUGGUGACCCUGGACCAGAUGAUGGCAGCUCUCCUCAACGUGAAGCUUAAACUCCUGCAGCCUCAUUUCUCUUCUUUUCUGUUUGUGUUUGUCUGUUCUACUGACCUGAUUAUCAUCAAACUUUGUGGACGUAUGUGUGUACAAACUUUUGACAUGUUAAAGUCUUUUUUGGGAGCUUUUCCUUUUCCCUGUGAGGGUCCAAGGACAGUGGGAUGUCUUGUGCUGUAAAGCCCUCUGAGGCCAAUUGUGAUUUGUGAUACUGGACUGUAUAUAUACAACUGAAUUGAUUUGAAUCACAGGGCGAAUAUACAAAUUAUUUUUCACUUUCAGUAACAUUGUGAGAGGUCAUUUGGCUGGGGCAGAGUAGAUGCGAUAUAUCUUAAAAUCCAGUAGAUGGUGGCAUUACUUUCUUGCAAGCAAGUCUAGUUACCUACCAUAUAGCACUUAUGAUUACCAUGACAUGGAUGACUGAGAAUCUUCACCGAUGUAUGAUAAAGUGUUUUCUGGUUUUCACAAAUGUAUGUUAAGUAUGUGACGAAUUAUGAAUCCACCAGUACAUAAUGAAUGCAAAAUAAGUCUUCAGCUGGACAAAACCAUAUUUUGACAUUACCUAACAGUUUUUAAAAAUAUAUCCACACAUAUGUAGUGGCUAUAUUUGUAAAUUUGCAUAUCAUAGAGGACUGGACUAUUGGUCUUGGCGGAGAUCUCCUCUCUCUGAGUGCCCAAAGUGCUACAAAGAGACACAAAAUGACCAGAGAGAGAAAAAAACA